GACUAGGUGGGCCCGUUACCCCGCCUACUAUCUAAUGGAACGCAUCCCCCAUCGUCUACCGGAAUACCUUUAAAUCAUGUGAACAUGCGGACUCAUGAUGCCAUCUUGUAUUAAUCUUCCUUUCAGAAGGCUGUCCAAGAGUAGACGGCAGGUUGGAUACGUGUUACUCACCCGUGCGCCGGUCGCCAUCAGUCUUAGCAAGCUAAGACCAUGCUGCCCCUCGACCUGCAAGUGUUAAGCCCCUUAGUUUUUAGUUUUUUUUAUACUGCUCAGGAUGAACGCUAGCUACAGGCUUAACACAUGCAAGUCGAGGGGCAGCAUGGUCUUAGCUUGCUAAGACUGAUGGCGACCGGCGCACGGGUGAGUAACACGUAUCCAACCUGCCGUCUACUCUUGGACAGCCUUCUGAAAGGAAGAUUAAUACAAGAUGGCAUCAUGAGUCCGCAUGUUCACAUGAUUAAAGGUAUUCCGGUAGACGAUGGGGAUGCGUUCCAUUAGAUAGUAGGCGGGGUAACGGCCCACCUAGUCUUCGAUGGAUAGGGGUUCUGAGAGGAAGGUCCCCCACAUUGGAACUGAGACACGGUCCAAACUCCUACGGGAGGCAGCAGUGAGGAAUAUUGGUCAAUGGGCGAGAGCCUGAACCAGCCAAGUAGCGUGAAGGAUGACUGCCCUAUGGGUUGUAAACUUCUUUUAUAAAGGAAUAAAGUCGGGUAUGUAUACCCGUUUGCAUGUACUUUAUGAAUAAGGAUCGGCUAACUCCGUGCCAGCAGCCGCGGUAAUACGGAGGAUCCGAGCGUUAUCCGGAUUUAUUGGGUUUAAAGGGAGCGUAGAUGGAUGUUUAAGUCAGUUGUGAAAGUUUGCGGCUCAACCGUAAAAUUGCAGUUGAUACUGGAUAUCUUGAGUGCAGUUGAGGCAGGCGGAAUUCGUGGUGUAGCGGUGAAAUGCUUAGAUAUCACGAAGAACUCCGAUUGCGAAGGCAGCCUGCUAAGCUGCAACUGACAUUGAGGCUCGAAAGUGUGGGUAUCAAACAGGAUUAGAUACCCUGGUAGUCCACACGGUAAACGAUGAAUACUCGCUGUUUGCGAUAUACUGCAAGCGGCCAAGCGAAAGCGUUAAGUAUUCCACCUGGGGAGUACGCCGGCAACGGUGAAACUCAAAGGAAUUGACGGGGGCCCGCACAAGCGGAGGAACAUGUGGUUUAAUUCGAUGAUACGCGAGGAACCUUACCCGGGCUUAAAUUGCAGAUGAAUUACGGUGAAAGCCGUAAGCCGCAAGGCAUCUGUGAAGGUGCUGCAUGGUUGUCGUCAGCUCGUGCCGUGAGGUGUCGGCUUAAGUGCCAUAACGAGCGCAACCCUUGUUGUCAGUUACUAACAGGUUUCGCUGAGGACUCUGACAAGACUGCCAUCGUAAGAUGUGAGGAAGGUGGGGAUGACGUCAAAUCAGCACGGCCCUUACGUCCGGGGCUACACACGUGUUACAAUGGGGGGUACAGAGGGCCGCUACCACGCGAGUGGAUGCCAAUCCCAAAAACCUCUCUCAGUUCGGACUGGAGUCUGCAACCCGACUCCACGAAGCUGGAUUCGCUAGUAAUCGCGCAUCAGCCACGGCGCGGUGAAUACGUUCCCGGGCCUUGUACACACCGCCCGUCAAGCCAUGGGAGCCGGGGGUACCUGAAGUGCGUAACCGCGAGGAGCG
rnacentral:rRNA from 1 species